CCUGUUCUUUUUAGCCGGUGGAAUAAAACUCCUCUCCACCAUAGGCCAAAACGGACGACGGCGCUGUGGACCUGAAGCGUCUCUUCCCUUCUCAUUCUUUCAAGAGCAGCCUUCUGCAGAUUGGUCUAUUAAGCAGACAUAUCUAAUCUUGAUUCGUGACUCAACAAGCUCCAUGACAUCAGUUCCAAAACCCCUCAAGUUUCUCCGUCCUCAUUAUGGAACUCUCAAGGAAUUUCAUGUAACAAUGGCGGAGUCUGAUCUUAAAAAAAUGUUGGCUGAUAUACGUUCUGUC